rfam:Tritrichomonas foetus strain K scaffold_980, whole genome shotgun sequence.
GUCUCAGUAGUAUAACGGUUAGAACAGACCCUUCACACGGGUCAGAUAAGGGUUCGAUUCCCUUCUGGGACA